GCAUGCUAUUUUCCCGUGGUCAUUUCAAUACAAUAUACAUCUCUACAGUAUUCAACAUGCGCGGUGACCACACUAGUCAUACUCAAACGCCCCAUAAUGCUUUGCGAGCUACCCACCGAAAUGGAAGCCUCCGCCGGAUCUGUGGCCAGACCGGGUUUUUGUUACCUGCACCUGCCGUCUGCCAACUGGGACUCCCUCAACCAAUAAUCCAAAUUCCUCCAAGAACCACUGGAAAACCACUUACUGUCUUCACCGGUCCAUCCAGCACCCACAAGUCACCUCUUCCCCUCCCGGCGUCCCUUCCCUGGAGAGUCACCAGCUGGAGCCCGGUCCGAGCGUCUCUAAGUGUUAAGGACCUGGUAUUGCGUUGUUUUGUUUUGUGAGCAUUAGUGUAGUUAAGCUUCUGAUGAGUUUAGUUCCAAGCCAGUUGGCUUCGUUUUUUGUUAGCUUGCCUUUGCCUUAGUCAAUUAACCGUCUGAUGAGUUUUUGUUCCAAGCCUGUUGGCUUCGCCUUUUGUUAACUUGCCUUUGCCUUAGUUAAAUCAAGUAUUUCAUAUUUUAGUUCAUCUCUGCCUUUUUCCUUCGUGGUUUUUUGUUCAUGAAUCCUCCUGCCUCUAGGAGCAGUAGAGCGUAGUCUUCUCAGUUGUUUGUUUGAAUUAGCUUUCCGUCCGCUAGCUGCUAUUGUUAAUACGAAGUUCUGGCAAAUAAACCUUUUAAACUUA